rnacentral:rRNA from 1 species
AGUGAACGCUGGCGGCAGGCCUAAUACAUGCAAGUCGAACGGCAGCACGGCAGAGCUUGCUCUGUGGGUGGCGAGUGGCGGACGGGUGAGGAAUACAUGGGAAUCUGCCCAGUCGUGGGGGAUAACGUAGGGAAACUUACGCUAAUACCGCAUGCGCCCUUCGGGGGAAAGCCGGGGACCUUCGGGCCUGGCGCGAUUGGAUGAGCCCAUGUCGGAUUAGCUAGUUGGCGGGGUAAUGGCCCACCAAGGCGACGAUCCGUAGCUGGUCUGAGAGGAUGAUCAGCCACACUGGAACUGAGACACGGCCCAGACUCCUACGGGAGGCAGCAGUGGGGAAUUUUGGACAAUGGGGGCAACCCUGAUCCAGCCAUGCCGCGUGAGUGAAGAAGGCCUUCGGGUUGUAAAGCUCUUUCAGACGGAAAGAAAACGCAUCGGUGAAUACCCGGUGUGGAUGACGGUACCGUAAGAAGAAGCACCGGCUAACUACGUG